rnacentral:snRNA from 1 species
AUCGCUUCUCGGCCUUUUGGCUAAGAUCAAGUGUAAAAAAAAUUCGUGAGUUUAAAAUGCAUUGAUGAAAUAACAUGAUUUUUUAGUUUAAAUGGCUCUGCUUGCCAAAGGCCAUUCUACAACUGUUCUGCUUAGCAUCUUGAUAGGAGUGGAAGGAGAGCAG